UGAAUGCACAGCAUGUAGGGUGGU
rnacentral:misc_RNA from 1 species